UCUACUCAAACCCUUGACCGCACAAACUCAAAGGAAAAGGAAGCGGGAAUCCUCACCGCCCUUCGAAAUCGCCAUGGAUAGCCGCGACGCCAAGCUCAAGCGCCCCUGCUACCCCACCCACACCGAAAAUCCGACCUCCUAUUCCGAUCAUUUCGACGUUCUAUUGGAGUCUCUCCUCCAUUUCCGCGAUUCCUCCGCGAUCGCUCUCGACCUCGCCGUCGGUCGCAUCGUCGACUCCUGCCCCCGCGAUUCCGAGAAGCAACACGUCGUCGAUCGCGCGCUCCGUCUCGGUUCCGCGCUCACUGAAGCGGCCAACCGAUCCGCUAGGAGGCUGGCUUCCAUGCACAACGCCGCCGUUUGGGCUCUUCCGUCCGAUCUCACUAUUAAGGUAUUUUCGUUGCUCGAUACACAGAGUGUGUGUCAUGCUGCUGCUACAUGCUCCUUCUUCAAUAAGUGUGCUGCUGAUCCAUUGUGCUAUGCCAAUAUUAACUUAACCACGACUGUUCCAAGGGUCAAUAAUGUAGUAGUUUCCACAAUGAUUCAACGAGCGGGGAAAGUACUGCGGUCCCUUAAGCUUGGGAUUGUCCCUCGCCCACCUGUUGCAUCACUAGGUUCGUCACAAGCACUCGUUUAUUCUAUGAGAAAUUCAUCAGAUACAUCGGAAUUUUCAUGGAAUGAUAAAAGGCCGAGACAGGGAAAGGAGACAUUUAUACUUACUAGGUCUUGCUUGGCACCAUUGAUCAGUGAUGGUGGUGCUCCAGGGGCUCUUCUGAAAAAGUUACACCUUUAUAACAUAGAAAGAAUGGACAAUUCAGCAUUGGGAGCUGCUAUAUCCGCUUGCCCUUCUUUGCUUGAUCUAGAAAUUGUUGGCCUACAUGUGGAGCUGCGGCAUACCCUGGAGUCUGUGAGUAGAUCCUGUCCCCUAAUAGGACGUCUAUAUUUUGAAUCAUCGAAAACAGGUAGAGAUGACAGCUUAAAAUUAGCAACAUGCAAUGACAUAGUCAACAAUUGCCCAUAUUUAUCCUCGUUAGCACUUCGAGGGUUUAAAUUGCAUGACCCUAAAGUCCGUGUUCUUGUCAAGGGAUUGCGUAAUUUGAAUUUUGUUGACUUUACAAUGUCCUAUGCCAUCACUGGUGAAUUUCUUAGAAACCUAGGUGGCAGUGGAGGUGGAAGCUUACUGGAAGUUUUGAUUUUACGGGAUUGUAUGCAUUUGAGAGAAGCAGAAGUUUCCAGGUUGCUUUCGGCGAUUAUUGCAGGACGUUUCAAGUUUCUUAAGCACCUUGAUGUAUCCAAUCGAGAGGGGCUUGCAUCUGAUGAUGACUGGUACCAGAGAUGUUACACCCCAAGUUUCAUGUCUUUACGCGAGCUAUUGGAAGAAAGGCCCAGUCUAAGGGUGCUUGCAGAUUUUCCUGCCAUGGGAAGUUUUGUGGAAGAGCCAAUGACCAGCAGUGAUGUCAACAACGAUACCAACUCACCCUCUGGGGAGUAUGCAUUCACUACCUCAUCGGAGAGCAGUUAUAAUAGCGACCACAGUAGUGGCAACGAGGACUACCCUAAUGCCGGGUUUCCAAUCCAUGAUGAGAGUUCAGAUGAGGUGGAUGAUUUAUAGAGAGAGAGAUGUCAGCAUCUCGGUCCAGUGGAACCGCCUGUAUAACUGGUACAAUCUCCACAUCAACUCAUCAGGUGUCCUGACUCCUGUCGAUACUCCUACACGCAAUGCAAAUUCAGUGCGAUCCUUAUUGCAUUAACAUGAGGAUUUUCAUUCUCCGAGCAUUGUUGACAGUAGCAAUUCAGCGGCUGCUGCAUUGAUUGUGAUUUUUUGUAUAGGUCACUGGCUGGCGUAUACACACUCACAUUCCUGUUUACGAGGACCUGCAGAUUGUCGAAAGUCUCGAUAGUUUGCUCAUGUUUCAAGCUUUGUUUUUCAUUUGAACAUGCAGAAACGAUCAUAAGAGUUAUUUUAUUAAGUUCUCCUAUUUAUUAUCUGGA